GAUGAACGCUGGCGGCGUGCCUAAUACAUGCAAGUCGAGCGAACAGAUGAGGAGCUUGCUCCUCUGACGUUAGCGUCGGACGGGUGAGUAACACGUGGAUAACCUACCUAUAAGACUGGGAUAACUUCGGGAAACCGGAGCUAAUACCGGAUAAUAUAUUGAACCGCAUGGUUCAAUAGUGAAAGACGGUUUUGCUGUCACUUAUAGAUGGAUCCGCGCCGCAUUAGCUAGUUGGUAAGGUAACGGCUUACCAAGGCAACGAUGCGUAGCCGACCUGAGAGGGUGAUCGGCCACACUGGAACUGAGACACGGUCCAGACUCCUACGGGAGGCAGCAGUAGGGAAUCUUCCGCAAUGGGCGAAAGCCUGACGGAGCAACGCCGCGUGAGUGAUGAAGGUCUUCGGAUCGUAAAACUCUGUUAUUAGGGAAGAACAAAUGUGUAAGUAACUAUGCACGUCUUGACGGUACCUAAUCAGAAGGCCACGGCUAACUACGUG
rnacentral:rRNA from 1 species